AACGCUGGCGGCAUGCCUAACACAUGCAAGUCGAACGAGACCUUCGGGUCUAGUGGCGCACGGGUGCGUAACACGUGGAAUUUGCCUCGGGGUAUGGAAUAACUCAGGGAAACUUGAGCUAAUACCAUAUAAUGUCUUCGGACCAAAGAUUUAUCGCCCUGAGAUAAGCCCGCGUAGGAUUAGCUAGUUGGUGAGGUAAAGGCUCACCAAGGCGACGAUCCUUAGCUAGUCUGAGAGGAUGAUCAGCCACACUGGGACUGAGACACGGCCCAGACUCCUACGGGAGGCAGCAGUGGGGAAUAUUGGACAAUGGGCGAAAGCCUGAUCCAGCAAUGCCGCGUGAGUGAUGAAGGCCUUCGGGUUGUAAAGCUCUUUUACUCGGGACGAUAAUGACGGUACCGAGAGAAUAGGCCCCGGCUAACUCCGUG
rnacentral:rRNA from 1 species